rnacentral:rRNA from 1 species
AUGAACGCUAGCUACAGGCUUAACACAUGCAAGUCGAGGGGAAACGACAUCGAAAGCUUGCUUUUGAUGGGCGUCGACCGGCGCACGGGUGAGUAACGCGUAUCCAACCUGCCCAUCACUUGGGGAUAACCUUGCGAAAGUAAGACUAAUACCCAAUGAUAUCUCUAGAAGACAUCUGAAAGAGAUUAAAGAUUUAUCGGUGAUGGAUGGGGAUGCGUCUGAUUAGCUUGUUGGCGGGGUAACGGCCCACCAAGGCAACGAUCAGUAGGGGUUCUGAGAGGAAGGUCCCCCACAUUGGAACUGAGACACGGUCCAAACUCCUACGGGAGGCAGCAGUGAGGAAUAUUGGUCAAUGGACGAGAGUCUGAACCAGCCAAGUAGCGUGCAGGAAGACGACCCUAUGGGUUGUAAACUGCUUUUAUAAGGGAAUAAAGUGAGUCUCGUGAGACUUUUUGCAUGUACCUUAUGAAUAAGGACCGGCUAAUUCCGUGCCAGCAGCCGCGGUAAUACGGAAGGUCCGGGCGUUAUCCGGAUUUAUUGGGUUUAAAGGGAGCGUAGGCCGGAGAUUAAGCGUGUUGUGAAAUGUAGGCGCUCAACGUCUGCACUGCAGCGCGAACUGGUUUCCUUGAGUACGCACAAAGUGGGCGGAAUUCGUGGUGUAGCGGUGAAAUGCUUAGAUAUCACGAAGAACUCCGAUUGCGAAGGCAGCUCACUGGAGCGCAACUGACGCUGAAGCUCGAAAGUGCGGGUAUCGAACAGGAUUAGAUACCCUGGUAGUCCGCACGGUAAACGAUGGAUGCCCGCUGUUGGUCUGAACAGGUCAGCGGCCAAGCGAAAGCAUUAAGCAUCCCACCUGGGGAGUACGCCGGCAACGGUGAAACUCAAAGGAAUUGACGGGGGCCCGCACAAGCGGUGGAGUAUGUGGUUUAAUUCGAAGCAACGCGAAGAACCUUACCAGGCCUUGACAUCCCUUGCAGAGGUAUAGAGAUAUAUCCGAGGUUAUCAAGGAGACAGGUGGUGCAUGGUUGUCGUCAGCUCGUGCCGUGAGGUGUCGGCUUAAGUGCCAUAACGAGCGCAACCCCUCUCCUUAGUUGCCAUCAGGUUAAGCUGGGCACUCUGGGGACACUGCCACCGUAAGGUGUGAGGAAGGUGGGGAUGACGUCAAAUCAGCACGGCCCUUACGUCCGGGGCUACACACGUGUUACAAUGGCAGGUACAGAGAGACGGUUGUACGUAAGUACGAUCAAAUCCUUAAAGCCUGUCUCAGUUCGGACUGGGGUCUGCAACCCGACCCCACGAAGCUGGAUUCGCUAGUAAUCGCGCAUCAGCCAUGGCGCGGUGAAUACGUUCCCGGGCCUUGUACACACCGCCCGUCAAGCCAUGAAAGCCGGGGGCGCCUAAAGUCCGUGACCGUAAGGAGCGGCCUAGGGCGAAACUGGUAAUUGGGGCU